CCGCGUAAAUCAGGAUUCCUGCAGGUUCCGUUCCAAACAAGCAAGCAGUUCCAGAUUCCUUUUGUUUCCUAAACUGGAUCAUCUCAAAGAGGAAAAUAUCUACAUCCCUAACCACUUCCGUAAUUGGGGUUAUUAUAAAGAAUGGGCCAAGUUUGUCCAAGGAAGACUUAAGGCCUAAGAGACACUUCAUGUGCUUGGGAUCUUAAGGUGAAGAGGAAGGCCAGCUUUUGGUCCAACCCGAGAGAGAUCAAGGCCUCACGGCUAAGGAGGGCCAUGGCCCAAGAAAAGGACCAAGCAAGGCCGUUUGGUCUUGGAGAGUGGCGGACAGCUUGUGUCGCGCAUGUCAACCUUCUUGUUCAAAUGUGCAGGCG
rnacentral:lncRNA from 1 species